rnacentral:ncRNA from 1 species
AGGAAUAGAAGUAGAGAAAUAUCGGGAACUACGCACCUAGAUAUAGGUAUCUGAAAAGUGGGGAUUUCCCGUCCCACCUAUUCUA